rnacentral:lncRNA from 1 species
GCCGGGACAGGGACCGCCAUACCAAUCAAGACAAGUAGUAAUCAUACUGACCAAAGAAGCAACUCCGGAGCGAAUGGAGCACACCAACACCUUCCGCUAAGCUGAUAGCCUAUUUGGAGGACUCUCGACCUGUCUAUCAGGACCUGCGGGCAUGAAACACAGCGUCCCCAGGCAAACGGGACAUCAACACAAAUAAUGUACCGAGUAUGUAAGGAAUGAAAUCAGUAACUAGUAGACAUGAGAGAAACACGGAGUAAAAGACUCAACAUGUAUAUCUGAAUAAAUCUGGGAAUCAUUUAAUAUUAUAAUGUCAUGCAUAUGUGUAUAAAUGUCAUACCAUGCAUAGGUAUAUGAAUUCAUAACAUCAUCAAGCCUCUGAGGGCAUCCCAUCAUAUCACCUCGACCACGGUGGGGAAAUCAUCAACAUAUACCAGCUGAUUAGGUGGUGGUGCGUAUAUAAUGCCAUAACCUUUUUCCAUAUCCCAUAUAAAUAUAUAUACAUAUAUACGCGUAUAUAACACCAUCUAUUCACGAGUCAAUAUACAUGAAUGCAAUGCAUGAGAAAUAUGUCAAUAAAAUUUCUUGGGGGAUGUCAUAUGACCAUUAUGCCCUCAAGUAAUAUCAUGAAGUAAAUUUUUUUUUUCAACUUAUGUAUUUUUCUGAGACCCAUAAACAGAUGAUAGAAUAAUAUGACACAUGGAAAUUCAAGAACAUAGGCACCUCUAAUACUUCUAUAAAUAGAGUCAUUUAUGGAAGUUGUGCAUUUUCUCGUUUCGUUUGUGUCAUAUAGAUCAUGCCAAAAGAAAGAAGGGAUAAUCUUAACAUACAUGAGGCAAUUCUCUUGGCAAUCCAUUUAGCACACAUCAACUACGACAACGUGUAAUAGCAAGAUCGGAG